rnacentral:rRNA from 1 species
CAGGCCUAACACAUGCAAGUCGAACGAAGGCUUCGGCCUUAGUGGCGCACGGGUGCGUAACGCGUGGGAAUCUGCCCUUGGGUUCGGAAUAACAGUUAGAAAUGACUGCUAAUACCGGAUGAUGACGUAAGUCCAAAGAUUUAUCGCCCAAGGAUGAGCCCGCGUAGGAUUAGCUAGUUGGUGAGGUAAAAGCUCACCAAGGCGACGAUCCUUAGCUGGUAUGAGAGGAUGAUCAGCCACACUGGGACUGAGACACGGCCCAGACUCCUACGGGAGGCAGCAGUGGGGAAUAUUGGACAAUGGGCGAAAGCCUGAUCCAGCAAUGCCGCGUGAGUGAUGAAGGCCUUAGGGUUGUAAAGCGAUUUGACCCGGGAUGAUAAUGACAGGACCGGGAGAAGAAGCCCCGGCUAACUCCGUGCCAGCAGCCGCGG